AAAGGUUUCGACAGGGAACAAAGUUGGUUGCGGGUAUGACCGUUGGGUGAUAACAACGUAAACACUAUCAAAAAACACAAACGCGAACGACAACGCCGUUCCAGCCUUUGCCCUCGCUGCCUAAAAAACAGUGAGAAGCAGGUCAUCUCACAAGAUACUGACCCAUCUGAUGGUUGGGUGAGAUGCGAUAAAGUCAGAAAAACCUCACAGUUGCUUUCGUGUCAGUUGUGUUGUAGAAAGUCACACGGAAUUUGAUUCUGACCGAUGACACUUGCUCAUGAGUGUCGAUAGAAUCGAAGAAACCCAAAAACAUGAGAAACGUCAUAAACACCGUUAUUGAUAGAGUUUUCUGGACAUGGGUUCGACUCCCAUU
rnacentral:tmRNA from 1 species